ACAGGGAUGUAUCUCAGUGGUAGAGUACUUGCUUAGUAUGCAUGAAGCCUGGGUUCCACCCUCAGUCAUUGGA
rnacentral:tRNA from 1 species